AAUAUUUUGAAUUUUUCCCAAUUUUCCACUUUAUUUUACUAUAUUAUGUAUUUAAAUAAAUUAUAUUUUUAAAUUUAUCAUAUUUUAAUAUAUCAUAUAUUAAAAUAAUAUUUUAUUUCUCUUUUUUUGGGAUAAUAAUUUGAAUUUUUGCCCAAUUUUCCACAGAACAACGGGACAGAGAGAUCGAACAACGGGACAGAGAGAUCGAACAACGGGACAGAGAGAUCGGUGAGUGUCCCAAAAAUGGGAAUUUUUUACUCAAUUUUAUAUUUAAUAAAUU
rnacentral:lncRNA from 1 species